UUCUCGUCAGAAUCCUCUCGGGAUUCUCGUCAGAAUCCUCUCGGGAUUCUCGUCAGAAUCCUCUCGGGAUCCAUUAUGCCAAAUGACCGUUAUGCCAAAUGACUUUAUGCCAAGUGACCUUAUGCCAAACGGCUUUAUGCCAAAUGACUUUAUGCCAAAUGACACAGACCCCAAUAACAACUACUGUGAACUAAAAGGCAUACUGCCAACUAAAAUACAAUUCCAGGAUGACUGAUGGACCCAAACCAAUAAAAGAAACCUCAUCAUCCUGUGAUCGGAAGGUGUUAUCCAUUUGGAUAACAGGGCACAUUUAUGUUCUGUGUUGUGUUGCGUCAACUUGUGAUGUCUCUUAUUUGUGCAUUUAUAAGGUUCCACGUAUCGUGAUGUGUUAAUCCUUUGGAAAUAAUUUACUUUCUUUUAUUUUUGUAACAUGGCGCCCAACGUGGGGCCUGAUACGGAAAAUAAAAUGUGCAUUUAUGAGGUUCCAAUGUACUAUUCGUUAUAUUGGCGCCCAACUAAAAAACCCACGUUCAGUUUAAAGUUUAGUGUUUCUUUGUUGAUCUAUCUGGUUUAGUUUAGGUAAACUUAGAGUAGAUCAAAUAUGAGUGUCCGCAACAGUAAAGAUAGAGAAAGGCUAAGUACUUGGUUGAUGGCAGUUCUUUGGCCGUUGUUUAAUGGCGUUAGAUCAUACCCUUUGCUAGGAUUCGCUGGCGUAAUUAGUUUUAAGUUAGCCUGGUGGCAAUUAGUUUAAAGUUAGCCUGGUGGCAAUUUAACUCGCGGAGUUAUCUGGUAAGCGUUUGGCUUACGUAAUAUGGUUAGUCUG